rnacentral:lncRNA from 1 species
AUAGCGAUUAAUUGAAAGAAAAAAUGUUAGAGGUCGGGUGAACUGAAAUCUGUUUGGAGUUUUAUUAGGAGUUAGUAGUUUGCCUUGAAUAAAUCUUGAAGGAAUCUAAGACGGAUAAGGAGAAAACAUAUCACAUGAAGACUGCUCCCCAGCCGCGCAGGUGGGACUUGAGUAGAAACUGUAGUAACUCCACUGCUCGCUAACAGCAUACCAGGCGAUCAAGCAAUGGAUGGACUGCUCAUUAGCUGCCGCUAUCUGAUGCAAACUCUAGUCCCGAUUUUGACAGAUUUUGCACUCCUAAACAAUCUCGAACUCUCUAUUAUUUAUCAGGCCUGUUAUAUUAGGACUUCACCAUAUGUUAGCCUCUUAUUUGUAUUGUAUAUAUUAGGAGUAAUUCUGAAGAUCAUCCAAUAAUCUUUGUAAUCCUCCUUCAAUUUGUUAUAGUGAAUUUCUUCUCCUCUACCCGUGGUUAUUUUCACGUCAUGGGUUUCCAAGAAAAUCUUUUGUUUGUGUUAUUAAGUUUCAUAUUGCCAAAUCUCCUUUUUUGUAACAAGAAAAAUAAAAAAAUAAUCUUAUUGUGUUCUUAUUGCUAUGUUAAACAAAAGCCUACAUACUCCUGCAGCAAUCUUAUAGCUCCAGUUAAACCCAUUGAUGCAAAUUGGAUAAAAUGCAUAAUUGAUUAUUUAUGUUGAACACCACACAAGCAAGAAAUAUGAAGAGAGCUAUCGAUUAUUAUACAAUUUUUUACAACAAGAAUCUCUCCUAUUUAGAACCAAAUGCUCUUAACAUUUUAUUGCUUAACCUCGGUGGAAAUGGUUGGAGAGAAGAGUUAUUUAUAGUAGUAAUAACGAUACCUGAUAAGUUUAUUCAAGCCACAAAACAUGACUAUUUUCUGAUAAAUAUAAUGGAAUAUGGCUUAAUUUUGUUAAAUCCUGUUUUGUAGGACUAUCUUGAUGGACAUCGAAUUCAAGAGAAAAGAUGCGAAAAAGGACCAAAAUAAAAGAAAAUGAAAGUUCAGGGACUAAAGUGCAAAUAACCAAAAGUUGAACCAAAAGGUGAAUAAAAAAUUCAAACGAGCUAAGUAUUGACUCAGGGAUAAUACAGGAUCAUCAAAGGAAGAAAAUGAAAAAUAAGGACUCUUCUUUCUCUUGAAAGUUCUCUCAUUUCGUUGAUAGAUCUCGUUCUCAUUGAACGAGAAAAAGAAGGUUCCCUCUACUUCAAGGGGAAUCGAAGAAGGCACUAAAAGAGAUAGUGAAUCUGGGGCAAGAAGAAUUGAAGGCUCAAAAGAUUCAAUGAUUGCUGCUGGUAGCUGGUCUAUCGAUCGAUAAGCAACAGCAGAAGGAGGAGCUAAGCUCACCAGUCGCCAACCAAGCUAAUGCGCCAUCCCUAUCUCUUCCUGAUGUCGUUUCCUUUGAUUUGAAUUAAUGAGGAAUGAAGGCUCCCGUUGAAGAAAAAACACUCCCGAUGAUCUUUGACCGAACGAAGUAGGCAGAAGUUGAUUCGGUAGAUCGACUAGAAGAAAAAGGAGAAAAAUGAAAGUCUAAGGACCAAAGUGCAAUUAUCUAAAAGAUGACCUAAAGAAGGAAUCGAUGACUUGAAUGAACUAAGUACCAAUUGGAUGAUUUCAUGGAUUGAUGGAAUGAGAAAAAUGGGAAAAAGAGGUCAAAAUUUGAAUAAACCAAAUCCGGGGACUAAAAUGACACAACCUGGAAGUUUAUACUACUCUGCAACCGCAUAGUAGUAAUGUCCAUGCGAUCGCAUGCAAUGCAACAAUGAUUUCAAUGGCCUAAAAUUGUUUAAUUAUGAAGUCGCAUAAACAAUUUUUGGUGCUGACGUUUGCAAUUUCCUAUUUUCGUUAAAACUUUUGUGAAACUUCAUUGGUAUGAGAUAUAUAAACCCUAAAAUAGUCAAAUUAGGAGGAGAAUGUCUGGGGAAGAAGAAUAACUCAUAUUGGAGAGGAUUUUACACCAUAAUCACGAGGAGAAACGUAAAGAUCAAGGAGAUUACAAGCCAAUUCAUACACUGGUGUUGCCGUUUCUUACAACUGCUAUGUAUUUUAUUCUUUUCUCUAUGUUAGGCUAGGUUUUCAUGUACUAGGAGAUCGAUGAACUUCGUGAUGUGAUUUUUAAUUUCUAGUUUUUACAAGUUUGACAUUAAAACACGUUUCUUGAGUUUUGAAUGAUUUAUAUACAAUCAAUUGUUUCAAUAAUUAUGUGCACGUAAUUAUAUGAAUGUGGGGAGUUAUUUCAUUAAUUUGAGAGAAGGGGAAUGAGUUUGACAGGAUAUAAAUUAUCGUAGGGUCCAAUAGAGGAUAGAGAUAUACCGCUAUGCCUUGCGUGAAAUCUUAAAUAGAGAUAUACCGCUAUGCAUUGCGUGAAUUCUUAGAUGCUCACAAAACUACUUGCAUUCUUGUAUUCUUGCACCCGUCAUAGAGAUAUAGGCCGGUGAGAUAUGAGAGUAGGUUCAACUUUACUUGAGAGAGAUCGUUGGAUAAAUUUGGGAGCAUUGAUUCUUCAAAAUAUCAACGUGUUGUCAGUUUGUGAAACUAAGGUUAAAAGUGGACAUUUUGUGAUUUUUGAUCCUAGUGCGAUUCUCAUUCAUUAAUUUCAUCAAUUUUGCAUUUAACAAUCAUUUUGCAUUCAAAUUCACGUGAGUCAUACAUAUUUGCUUAUUAGGUCAAAAAUUAGGGUUAAGUCACGCUAUCAGAAAUCUUGUUCUAUCAUUUUGUUUCAGUUAAGGUCAAGUAGAUAGAAUUAAACUACUCAAUCUCUAUAGGACGACAUUCGGACUGAAAAUUUCUACUUUAUUACUUGUUAAUGAACCGUACAAUUUCGAUGGUUUAAAUCGAAAUAUAAUUUCGUGAACAAGUUUUUGGCACCGUUGUCGGGAUCAAGUAUUCGUUUAAUAUUAUUUACAUUGGCACUAAUUCGAAUGUCAAUCUUUGUAUUCUUUUAUUUUAUUUUCAUUUUGUUUUAUUAUUUGAUUUAUUAUAGUAUCUAAGUGCUAUUACUAGUUUUUCUCACAGAAUUGCAUGCUAAGAUCUACUGGAGAAGACCUGAUUCCAGCCGAUCCAGAAAUAGAGUGAACUUUUCAUCAAAUGAGAGAGAAACUAGGGAAGCACAACAACAAAUGGCUGAAGUGCAGAACAAUCUUAUCUUUCAAGCCAAUGAAAAAGGGGCAGCGGAUGAAGGCAAUAUACUUGUAGGAGAUUUCAUGAGCCCACUAAUAAUUUAAAGCCAAUCAAGCAUCAUGUAUCCAUAGUUUGGGCAGUCCAACUUCCAAUUGAAGACCAACGUGAUACAACCGUUUUAGAAUGGACAAUCAAUUCUAUGGCAGAGUUGAAGAGAACCCACACACGCACGUCUCUCACUUCUUGAAGAUGUGCCAACACUUCAAGUAUUAGGGAAUCUCAAACGAUGCCAUUAGACCGAGGUUGAUCCCACAUACACUGCAUGACAUGGCAAUAGAAUGGCUGGACUCUUAAGCAAUUGCUAGCAUCACUCAUGGAACGAUCUAGCACAGAAAUUUUGCAACAAGUUCUUCCCGCCCACAAAGAUUGCAAAGCUCAAGCAUGACAUAUCUGUUUUCCAUCAAGGCAACUCAGAGAAUUUUGAUGAAGCUUAGAAUAGGUUCAAAAACAUGCUGUUAAAGUGUCUACAUCAUGGGAUUCAUAAGGGACUCCAGGUCCAAUAUUUGUACACGGGAUUGCUUCUAGCCUUCAAGAGCAUGGUCGACUCCGCAUCUAAUGGAUCACUGUCCACAGAAACAAUUGAUAAAGCACCAAAACUAUUCGAGACAAUAGCUACUACAUCACCAUGUGGACAUCAGAAUGAGUAGUUCGGAAGAGGACAUCGAGAAUUUAUGGAGUGGACGCAUAUUCUGCCUUGUCUGCAAAGAUUGACUCAUUAUUAGCACAAGGUGAAAAACAUGUCAUAAUUAGCUAACGCAGCACAGACGAAGAAGGUUAGCUAUGAGGAAUGUGGAGCUGAACAUGUAACAGCAAAGCGUCCAAUCUUAGUACAAGGAAUAGAGCAGGAAGAUUUGCUAAAUGGGGACAACGCAGUAGAACAAUUCAUUUGGAAAAACAUACAAUCCGAGGUGGAAAAAGUACCCUAACUUCUUUUGGAGCAACCAAAAUUAGAAUAGGCCACAGGGUCAGUAUCAGCAGCAAGAGAAAAAACCUCAACUAGAAGAGAUGUUCGAAAAAUGCAUUGAAAAGACUAAUCAGUACAUGAAAGCCAAUAAUCAGUUCAUGAGAAAAAUAGAAGCCACUCUUAAAGAUCAAAAUGCCGUCAUAAAAAAUCUAAAGACUCAAAUGGGACAGAUGGCAGUUGCUUUGACUGGCAGAGCAACAUGUAGCUUGCCAAGCAACACGAAAAUGAACCCAAAGGAAUAUGUGAAGGCAAUUACAGCUCGAAGUGGGGUGCAACUACUUGAAAUACACGUCAAUAGGUAAAUAGGGAAACAACACCUCUUUCAGUAGAAGAGACUGUGAAGCUGAUGAGUAGAUAAAUGAAUCUACACCAACAUAAGGUUUAGGUACAUCACGGGAUAAAGCUACAGCAACUGUAAGCCCUUAUGAGCCUCCCAUUCCAUUUCCACAAAGGCUAAAGAAGCAUAAGUUUUAACAGUAACAUAAAAAGUUUCUCACAGUUUUCAAGAAGCUCCACAUAAACAUCUCAUUUGUCGAAGCACUAGUCGAGAUGCCUAGCUACGCAAAGUUCCUGAAGGACAUCCUAUCAAAUAAAUGUAAUCUAGGGGAACAUGAGACGAUAAUGCUAACUAACUAAAGAAUAUAGCGUGAGAAUUUAGAAGUUGUUCCUACUGAAAGAUUCAGGGAGUUCCACUGUCCCUUACACUAUUAGUGAAAUAUAUUUUGAUAAAGCUUUACAUGACCUUGGUGCAAGUAUAAAUUUAAUGCCUUUAUCUAUUUUCAGGAAACAUGUAUUAGGAGAGGCCAAGGCUACCACUGUGACAUUGUUAUUAGUUGACAGAUCCUUGACACAUUCAAGAGGGAUAAUCAAAGACGUACUGAUCAAAGUGGAGAAAUUCAUCUUCCUUGCUAAUUUUCUCAUUUUGGAUAUGGAGGAAGACAAGGCUAUUCCAUUGAUAUUGGACAGAUCUUUCUUGGCCAUUGGCAGAGCUCUAAUUGAUGUUCAUAAAGGACAGUUGAUUCUGAGAUUGGAAGAAGAGCAGAUUUCUUUUAGUGUCUUCAAGGCGAUGAAGCUACUUGUAGAGUCAGAUAGCUGCUUCCAGAUCGACGUGAUUGACAGAGUGGUUCAAGAUUCAUUCUUACUACUCAAUCCAUCAGAAUCUUACGAGGCUUGCAUUGCAUUGACAGAAUGGUUCAAGAUUCAUUCUAACUACAUAAACUAGUUAGGUACUUAAGUAGAAUAAAACAACGAUUGGAUGGACUAUAGUAGAUACCAAAAGGAUCAGCUCUUCACUGUGUAUGCAUAACGGGUUGAAUAUGGAUUUGAAGGCGACCGUAAAAAAUGUCUGCUAUAGCUUAACGGGUUGGAUGAGUUCAGAAUGGAAGCAUUCGAAAAAUUAAAACUAUACAAGGAACUCACCAAAGAGUGGCAUGAUUUACAUAUUCAGAGGCGAGAGUUUGAAGUGGGUUAGAAAGUGCUAUUGUAUAACUUUAGACUCAAAGUCUUCUCGGGAAAAUUGAGGCCGAGGUGGUCAGGUCCUCCUUACACUAUUACGAAGGCACUACCAAAUACAGCCAUGAAAGUAAGGGAACCUUCACAGUGAAUGAACAAAGGUUGAAGCAUUAUUGGAGUGGAAUAUUUUCAAAGGAAAAGCCCACCGUCUAUCUCAAAAUACCAGAAUGAAAUAGACACGGGAGAGCCGACUAUAAACUAGCGUUGGAUGGGAGGCAACCCAUUGUAUCCUUUUAGUUUAAUUUGCUUUUUUGCAUUAGUUUAGAAUUUUUCAUUUUCUUUUUAGCAUGUUUGGUGUUUAUACGUCAUCGGUCGUCCAUAUAGGUCAUAUGGAGUCGAAGCAUGGUCCACGCACGUCCCAAUGCAUUGAGCAUAGGUCAGGAGGUUCAAAUUUGUGUUUUUCAAAAAAAAAUUCGGGGUCAAGGUGUGAAUUCAAUCAUAAGUUCAGUUUUAUAACUAAAUUCAUAGCCCACAUGCAACCUAUAUGGUCUAAAUUAUGUUCUUGCAAUUUUAGGGAUGGUGUAAGACCAAGUCGAGUCUUAAUUUGAAAACCGAGUUCCAAAACUCUUUUUUUUUUUUUUUUUGGGAAAAGGGUAAAUUUUAUUUUAUGAACUCUUUCACGUGCACACACUCAUCACGACAAAUUCAAUAUGGAGGCACGGAUUAAAAAAAAAAAAUAGAGUGGGUUCAGACUUUUGUCUAUGCGGUCACAUAGCAAUCGAGAGUUGAAGAGAGGCCAAGUUUCAUUCUAUGCGACCGCAUGGACUCCAUGUGGCCACAUUGAAGAAAGAGGUCACUAGUUUAAAACCUGGGACUUAAACAUUUUCAACACAUCCCUAACACACAACACGCACUCGGCCACUCCCCUCCACCUCUCUUCCCGCACAAUCACACAGUCACACACAUACAUCUCAUGGCAAACACAUAAAUUGCUUAUCUUUUCCUAUAUAAUUUCGUUAUGCGCAACGAAGUUUGAUGACUUGAAGGAGAUUGGGAUUGAUUGCACUGUGAUGGAUUUUUUGGACGGGGCAUUGAUGGAUUGGGAAUUUGGUAUUUACAAUUAUUGUGUAGUUCUAAUAGAACAUAAGAUUGCUUUAAUGUGUUCGAUAAAAUGCUUAAAGAGAAGGGUUGUUUGCAUUUUUGGCAAUCUUGUACUUCAUGUGCGUGAUAUGUGACUUGAGGAAUGUAUUGUGAUGAACGCCCAUCAAAAUUGCAUUGGAUAACACAAACUACCACCUUUGACCAUACAUAUAGGCACAAAAGGAUUAUCUCACGUGCACCUUGAAGCAAAAGAUGAUGACAGGAUUUUGCAAAUGUGCCCAAUUGAUUUGUUCUUUUCUUUUUUGUUCUUUUGUCAUUGCAUCAGCUUUUUGAAAAGAUCCAAAUAUGAAUGAGAACUGUGGCAGGUAAGAGUAGGCCUUGAAGGAUCUUUAAGUGCUCCUUUAAAUGUUUCCAAACUCAGUUUCACGACAACAUUAUCGACUAGUGCAAUAUUAUAUAAUACUAUGCGCCAAUCGCAAAUUUAUAGUCAUUUUCUCAAUUAGUCCAAAACUGCCCAUUACGGGCAAGACACACAGCUGGCCUGCGCUUGUGCAAAAAUAAAGAACAGGACAAGAAAGAUACCUACUUGCUUGAUCACACCAGUCCAUAUAAUAAAAAGCAUCAUUUCUUUUAGGGACGGAUCCAAGAUCAUAUUGCAAGCCGGACUAAAAAAAAAAAAAAGGGUUUACGCAUAAUUUUUUCUUCUUUUUUUACAUAAAUGUUUUUUUGCGCUAAAAAAAUUUAAUGGGCUGGAGACUGGGUUGGGCUAUAGCCGAACCCAUUCCCCCUUUAUGCGUCCCUGAUUUCAUUACUUUAAUUUAUUCUCUACUUCUCACUAAUAGCUAUUAAUUGACAGAAGAAAUGUUAGAGUUCGAGUGUGAUCUGAAUUAUAUUGGGAGUUUUAUUGGGAGUUAAUAGGUUGCCUUGAAUAAGUCUUGAAGGAGUCAAAGACGGAUAAGGAGAAAAACAUAUCGCAUGAAGAUUGCUCACCAACCGCACAGGUGGGAAUCAAGCGGAAAUUGUAGUAACACCACCGAAGGCCAAGCGAUCAAGCAGUGGAUGGAGUGCUAUCUGAUGCAAACUCUAUUUGGGAUUUUGACAGAUUUUGCACUCCUAAACAACCUCAAACACUAUUAUUUGUCAGGCUGUUAUAUUAGGACUUCACCAUAAGUUAGACUCUUAUUUGUAUUGAUAUAUUAGGAGUAAUUACUUCUCUGAAGAUCAUCCAAUAAUCUUUGUAAUCAUCAUUCAAUUUACUAUAGUGAAUUUUUCCUCCUCUGUCCAUUGUCUUUUUUCACGUCAUGGAUUUCCAAGAAAAUCUUGUGUUCUUGUUAUUACUUUUCAUAUUGCCGAUUCUCUUUUUUGUAACAAGAAAAAUAUAAAUAAUCCUAUCGUGUUCUUAUUGCUACGUUAAACAAAAGCCUACAUACUCCUGCAGCAAUCUUAUAUCUCCAGUUAAACCCAUUGAUGCAAAUUGGAUAAAAUGCAUAAUUGAUUAUUUAUGUUGGACACAACACAAAAAAGUAAUAUGAAGAUAGCUUUGAUUAUUAUACAAAUUUUUACGAGAAUCUCUCCUACCAUACACCAAAUGCUCUUAGUAUUUGAUUGCUUAAUUUUGGUGGAAAUGGUUGGAGAGAAGAGCUACUUAUAUCAAUAAUAAGGAUAUCAACCUUUAACAACUGCAGAGUUGUGAGAGGAGGUCAAAAGCAUGUUGCCGGGGAAUGCACAUGGCCUCCAGAGGUGUAGCCUUCUGCAUAGUAACUUUGGAAUUAUAGUUCAUUUUCAUGUUGCCACUUUCUACUUUUUCCCACUCAAAACACUGAACAAAGGCACCUAAUGCCAACGAAACUGUUCGCAAACCCAUACCGGCUCCGGGGCAGGCUCUCCUUCCCAUUCCAAAAGGCACAAAUUUGAAGCCUUCUCUUUCCACUUCUAUUGCCUCAAAUCUCUCUGGCUUGAAUUGUUCAGGCUUGUCCCACACCUUCGGAUCCCUGUGCAUGGCCCAAGCAUUCACCAGCAAGAUUGUGUCUUUUGGAAUUCUGUACCCCCCUAAACUGCAAUCUUCCGAUGAACAGUGAGGUAAAAGCAGUGGCACUGGAGAGUACAGUCUUAGCGUCUCGUUUACAACACAACGCAGAAAUGGAAGUUUAGCAAGAUCAGAGUCAUUUAACAAGUGCCCAUGUCCAACGUUAGUGUCAAUCUCCUUUCUUAGCCUAUGUAAUGCGUCUGGAUGAUCUAAAAGGAGUGACAUAGCCCAUUCUAUAGCAGCUGCUGAGGUUUCUGUUCCUGCCACAAACAGUACCUAGACAAUAGGAGGUACUUCUGUUAGAAGAAAUGAUCUCUUACCUAUGAUGGAUAGGAUUUAUCUUGCUCACCGUUGACGUAAACUCACAAUUUUCGACAAUUUAAUAUUAUAUUGUCAAAAAUUGUAGGCUUGACCGUUGACAUGUUGCCACGUAGUUGUGGGUAUGUUUUAUCCUAUCCACCAUGGGUAGGAGAUCAUUUCUACUUCUGUUAGAGAAAUUAUUAGCCAAAUCUGAUUAUGAUGUCAAUUCCUUCUCAUUAUUAUUUCUGCAACAUUUCGAAUUUCUCGUGAAAAAAAGCAAAAUGCUGCUACAAAUUUUGUAAUAACGAGGAUGACCCCCGACCUUAAGAAACUUAAUUCCUAUUCAAGGAAGAAUCAGCAGAAGUCACCUAUCUUGAAACAGGAAUUACUCUGUGGACAUCAAUCCUAAAUGGAGGUCUAGGCAAGUCUCAUGUUUGUUGAGUUAAAGCUUAAACUUGUGGGAUUACAACUCUUGAAUACUCUUCCUUUACAGGUUAAUUUUAAGGGGUCGUAAAAUAUUAUCUUUUCAUAAAACAUUUGAACGCAAUGAUAUGCUGAUAUGACCCAAAGAUAUCCAAGUUUGCUUGCGAAAAGUAUAACAUUAAUUACUUACCAAUAUAACGCUUUUGAUAACAUCAUCGGAGUAUACAUCAGGUUCCGAUUCUUGAACAGACAACAGGAUUUCAAUCAAAGUGUUCUUCUCCCUUGUGGAAUCUGAAGACGUAAUACCAGUCCCUUUAACCUCAUCUAUCAAAAUCUUAAUAUAAUCAUCUCUCUUUCUGUGAAGUGAGAUCAGAUUUUUCUCCAGGCCUUUGUAACCAACCAACCUCAAUACGGGAAAAAAAUCACACACACUAAGUGACAGACUUGAAAGUAAAAUCCCCCUGAUUUCUUUGACUAUCUGCUUUCCCACUUCAGUUCCAACUUCUUCCUCUUCAACACACCAUUUUCCAGCAAUAACUCUCAUCAUAACAUUGAAACCGAGGGUAGAAACCAAAUAGUUCAAAUUAACUCUUUGAAUUCCAUCCUUUGAGCUUUUAAAUAAUACUCGAAGAAGGGAUUGUAUUCCUUCUUCACGUAUUUUUGCCGACUUUUGGAGGCUAUGUGAAGAGAAAAGUUCAACAGCAGUUAGUCGGCGGAGAAUCCUCCAGAAAUGGCCAUAAGGUGACCAUGCCAAGGUGACGUAGUUGUAUGUCAGCAGGUCACCGGCCAUGCACCGAGGCCGAUUGGCGAAUACAAUGUCGUUUUUUGUGAAGCAUUCUUCUAUGGCUGAUGGAGAAGAAACCACAACAAACGAUCUGCACCCUAACCUGAUAGAAAAAAUGGGACCAUGUCGGGAUGAUAGCGCAGCUAAUGAUUCAUAGAGGGAAUUCCUGAUAAGGUGAAGGUGGCCAAUCAUUGGUAGUGCUAGUGGACUUGGUGGUGACUUUUGGCGGGGAUUGAUUACUAAAUAUUUCAAUAUCAUAUAAAAAACUAAAGGUAAGACAAGAAGAUAAUAGUUUAGGCUCUCCAUGGCUGAACAGAAGAAUUGCCAGUGAUUCAGCUUAGACUUUAUAUGACUACAAACAAGAUUACAAUGACCAAGACCUUAGAUAAAUUCGUAUAAGAUAGAAUUGGAAUAUAUAGGUCCUAACAUUUGUACGAAAUUUUUUAGAAGGCCCUCAUUUUAUAGUCGAAGUAACCAGUUUAUACCUAAGAAGCACAGAUUUGAAUAUGUAAUUCCAAUACGAUACACUAUAGAUACGUCGAUUCAAUCAUUUAAAAAAAAAAAAAAAAUUAAGAUGUACGAAUACACACACACACACAAUUAAAACAGAAGAAUGAUAAUAAAAAUAAAAUAUAAUAAAAUACUAAAAUAUUUUAUCUUAAUCUUUAAUUGUCCCAACUUAAUGUUCUUCAACAAUAAUUUGUUAAUUAUCAUUAAAAAUAAUACUCUUCAACUUUAACUCAUCUAAUGAAAGAUUAUCAAUAUCAAGCAGCUCAACACCGAGAGUAUCAAAUGAAUCUCCAACAAUGUCGAAUUCUCCUUUUGAAUAUAUAUAUAAGAGUCAUUGCUUCAUAAAUAUUAUUUUCAAUAUCCCGCAACUGCAUCUAUCUCUGCAUCGGCUUCCCUAAACCUCUAUUUUUUUGAAAGAUAGGAAAAAAUAUUGCGAGAUAAAAUCUCAAUAAGUGUACGUGAGUAACUUAAUUCUUGUAUAUGCAUUUUAAAGAAAAAAAUUCAUACUCACAUAGGGAGACAUAAAAAUUGGACACACCUCAGUACCAAAUUUUUAUUUUUAAUAUAAAAUACAUAUUUGUUAACUAUUAAGACAGUUUUAUAUGCAUUAAAAAGUAAUAUUACUGUGUGUUUUCAAUUUAAAAAAAAAAAUCGACUUUACUUUGUUUGAAUUACACUAUGGUUAGAUUCAAAUUGAAAGAUAUCUAAUCCUUAUGCAUAAGUGUCGUCUUUUUGAAUAUGUGAUUGUAUUGAUUUUGAACAAGUGGGGGGAUUGUUGAAUAUUUGUUCAAAAUCAAUGGAAUGAUAAUGGGCUAAUUGUGGAAUUGGUAGAAUAAAAAGAAAUUGAAAAAUGAAAAAUUUGAUUUUUGCCUAUGCGUACGCACAAGCUUAUUUUUGUGCGUACGCGAGAUGUGCUUUGACAAAAUCAGAAUUGAUUUUGCUUCUACUAUGCGUACGCACGAUUUUAUACUAUGUGUACGUAUAGUGUUAAAAAAUAGUCGUUGGCUGAUUUUUCAAUUUGAAACUUGGGAGCCGUUUUGGAUUAAAAGUACCCACUUUUUAUCUUGUUUUGGCACCAUUUUGUGAAGCUUUGAUUCAUGGCUAUAAAUAUGUGUUUGUUGGACAUAAAAACACAUAGAAAUCAGAUUACAUAACAUAUGGCAAUCUGUCAUCAUUCCACAAGAAAGAAAAAUCCUUUCUUCCUCUAUAUUCAUAUAUUCCCUUUAUGUUCUUUAAGUUCGGGUGGAGAAAUGCUUGUGCUUUUGUGUUUCUCUACAUAAGGCUUGAUCAAUCCUUCAAACUGUUUGCUGCGAGAUCCUUUAAGCACCAACAUUAAUACCAAUAGGGGGCAAAUAUCGUUUGAGGACAACGAUGUAAUGUGGUGUUUGAGCCUUCCAUUUUCGUCAUGAUCUCGAUUCGUUUUUUCAUCCUCUUGAUUAAUUUUCUGCAUUGUUUCUUCUCCAACCGCGGUGGUGAAUUUAAUUUCCCAACAAUUACUUAUUUCUCAUUCUUUGGGAAAAUUAUUUGAAAUAAUAGUAUGGUCUAAAACUAUCUUGUAGAUGUAUCAUUUUAACCACGUUGACAGAAGGGAGAUUCGGACCUUAGAUAAAUUUUUUUUUUGGUGUUAGUUGUAAAAAUAAGUAGUUAAUCCUUAUAUAAAUAACAUAUAAAGAUACCUCAACUAUAGUGAAAUACACAUCAACAAUGGAGACGAACACCAUUGCACAAAUUAUCACGUAUUUAGUGCUUGAAAUUUUCAAUAAAGUUAAAUUUAUAUUAUAAUUUAUUUGUUUAGCUAAAAUUUAUUCAUAAAACACUAUUGAUGCUCGUGGGAUACCCAUGAAAUAUUUCAAUUCUGUAUGUAGUAGAUUAACUGGAUUUUUGCUUCUAGGUAAAUUUUUGUUCAUGGUUUACUUUUUAUCUAGGAUAAAGUUUUUUACCUAUGAAUCAAUUUUAUACCUUGUAUAUAAAUAUUUAAUUAGAAGUAAUUUUUUACAUGCAAACAAUCAUUUUUCCCUGAAGUGGAUAUUUUUCUUACUAACAAAAUAUUAUGAAUCUGAUUCAAUUGUCAUAUGCGUUGUUUAAUUCAACUAAUUUUUUUUUUCCGUGUUAUUGAAGUAAUGGUUAAUAUAUUAUAUGGUUUAAACCAUCUUACAGAUACAUGUGUUCCAAUCAUAAUUAUGAAAAGGAGACAAUCAUCACAUAUUAAUUUGAUACGUGUAUUAAUUGUACAAAACACCGAUGUGUUAUCCAACUAGGUUUCAAUCCAUACCAUCAAGUACUCAACAUAUUGGCAAAUGUAACCUUCACCGUCUUGCCAUGUUUUCUCAUACUUAAGGCAUGCAGGCAUUGUUUGACAUUUCUGUGGUGUACAAGACACAUAAAGGUUCCACAUAGCACAUACAUCGGAUUGAAAUCUACGACAUUGCUUCUUCAGCCCGAACCGAGGAAUCCCUUAGAUAUGAUGCAAAACGGAUUUUGUUCUAUCUUUGAUCAGAGAUUUCUCUAUGAAAAAUACGAAUCGGAGUUUGAAGAAGGGGAGGGAGAAGGAGCCCUUGACCCGCAACAGAUAGAGGAGGAUUUAUUCAAUCACAUAGUUUGGGCUCCUAGAAUAUGGCGCCCUUGGGGCUUUCUAUUUGAUUGUAUCGAAAGGCCUAAUGAAUUGGGAUUUCCCUAUUGGUCCAGGACAAAAAGAAAAGCAACUUGGACAAAAAAAGAAGUGACUUGGACAAAAAGAAACGAAGUGGCUUAGACAAAUCUUUUUUGUCGAUAACCUCAGACCAAUCAAUCGAAUAUUGAUUAAUACGUAAUUGAUCGAACACUACUUGCAAACGGCUCUUCUGCUCAGAAACGAAAUGUUCCAAAUGUUCCUGGAAAUUCUUGCUCCCAUUGGACCAUUUGUAUCUAUAUGCAUCAGGAUCCCGAUUCAUGGAUUUCUCGGUUCGAGAAAUCAAGAUAAGAGGAUCGAACUGACUCUUUUUCAAAUUCGAUAAAUGUUGGUUGAUCGUAUAUUUCAUUAUAGUUCUAUGAUUCAGAGUAUCCUUUCCUAUUUGAUCCCUUUGAAUUCCAUAUUCGAAGUUGCGAUCGGAUCGAUUCUUACAAUAAGCAAUUCAUUUGUAUCCUCCUCAGGGUAGCCUUAUAGAUUCUGAUGCAAACCCACAUAGCAAUUAAAGCUAUGAAACUCACACGAGAUUGGAUCGCAAGCCAAUAAAGUCAAUAAAUCAAAAUUUUGAGUUUGAUUCAAGAUUAUUGAACCAAGUAACCAACAAUCACCGACAAUCUGUUGACCUUUUGAUCAUAAGACUCGAAAACCUCACCUUGAUUGUUUGAAAGCUCGACCUAGCUAAUAAAUUAUUGAAUCAAAGAACCGAGACAAUCGAAAACAAUAUCUUGACCUUUUGAUCACAAAAUUUACAAAUCUUACUUGAAUUGUUGAACUCUACAAAGAGUAUGAAUAUUUGAUAAGUUCAGAUAGUUUGAAUGCCACAAAUAUUAAAAAUAUUUGACAAAUUCUGUUCAAUUAAGAACAAGAUAGAAAGUGAAAAAAUUCACAUUAUGAUUAAUUUUCAAAAAAAUUAAUGCCUUUAUUAUAAAAUGAAUGUGCCUUUUUACAGAGAUAAAAUAAACUCCUAAUCAAAAUAAAACUCUAAUUCUAAAGACAAAUCCAAAUAAUCUACAAAACAAAUCUGGCUUAUACUAAAAUACUACAAAUAAGAAAAUACCCUUUAAACAAAUUCAAAAUGCAAAAAUAGACCGCUAAACAACCAAAAUUGACCCCAAAAGUUUGACAAAAUCGUUUGACAAACUUGUGGAGAAUCAAAAGAUAUUUCUGCAUUGUACUCGUGGACGAAAAUUCGACAGUUGAGCUGAAAGUACAUCCCAUGCAUUUUUUCAUAUACUUCAUAUUUCUUCCAUUCUCUAAUUAAUUUAGGAUCUUCUCUUCUAAUUGAUCUAUACAACUCCGGAACAUGCAAUGUAUCUUUGUUAGUUUUAACCAAAAUAUUUCACAUCGAGAUUAAUUUUCUCAAAAUCGUGACUCUAUAUGUUAUCUAUACAAUCAUUUGGUAAUUACCUCAAUUAUAGUGAAAUACACAUCAUUUGGUAAUUAUAGCUCUAGCAGAUUGAUGUGUAUUUCACUAUAAUUGAGGUAACUCUAUAUGUUAUCUAUAUAAGGAUUAACCUAAAAUAACUACUUAUUUUUAUAACUAACAGCAAAACAAAAUUUAUCCAAGGUCUGAAUCUCCCUUUUGUCAACAUGGUUAAAAUGAUACCUCUACAAGAUAGUUUUAGACCAUACUAUUAUUUCAAAUAUUUUUCCCAAGGAAUGAGAAAUAAAUAAUCCAAUAAAAGGUUAGACAUUCGAAACUAAAUAAUUUCUUUUAUAGCACUCAAUAAUCGAGUUUUUUCAAGAAGUAGAGUCUCGCGAAAUCUUUUCUCUUCGCUUUCAAUUACAUACGAAAAUGAUUUGUAACUUCAUUUUCCGUGCAUUCCACUACUACAUGAGAAAUCCAUUUAUGUAAAAAAAAAAAAAAAAUACAUGGAUUAAAAAUUUUAAAAAGAAACUAUUGAUAAAUAAAACAAAAAAGCUCAUAUUUAAUAAAAAAAAAUUAAAAAAAAUUCAGAAGUUUUAUAAGCAAAAAAUAUAAAUUCACCCAUGAGAAAACAUUCAAUCAAACAAUUACUUACUAUACUAAGAAUACAUCAAGUACAUUGUACGUGCAUUGCACUUGGUUUUUUCAUAGAACUUGACAGUAUAAGUAGCUUCUAAUGCAACUUUAGGCUGUGAAAACCUGAGAGAAGCUGUAAAGCUACCACCAAGGAGGAUAUGAAUGAAUUGCUUCUUGGCAUCACUGUGCAGAUUUCAACCCGAUGUAUGUGCUAUGUGGAACCUUUUACGUCUUGUACACCAGAGAAAUGUCAAACAAUAUCUAUAGGCCCUAUGUACGAGUAAACAUGGCAAGGCGGUGAAGGUUACGUUCAUCAAUAUGUUGAGUACUUGAUGGGAUGGAUUGAAACCUAGUUUGAUAAAAGAUCGGCAUUUGGUGCAAUUAAUACAUGUAUUAAAAUAAUAUCGGAUGCUUAUAUCCUUUUGGUAAUUAUAAUUGAAACAUAUGUAUUUGUGAUUUGGUUUAAACCAUUUAAUAAAGUAACUUUUACUUUGAUAAUAAGGAAAAAUUAGUUGAAUUAAAGUACGCAUAUGUCAGGUGAAUAAGAUUCAUAACAAUUUGCUAGUAAGAAAAAAAUCCACAUCGGGGAAAAAUGAUUGUUUGUAUGUAAAAAGUUUCUUCUAAUUAAAUGUCACUACAAUAUAAAAAAAAAUCUAAAAUUUUGGCACUAUUUGUUACGGACACAUGUCAGAAUUACCUAUCAUCAAACAUUACGAUGUCGCUUGGAGAACUUUUAAAGUUGCCCUUAUUAGGUCCAAUAUUGUAAUUGGCAAUUCUGUGAACAAAAAUGAGUAAAUUGAUCACUUGUAAAAGUCAAGGGCUUAGUUGCAAUUUUGAAUAGAUGAGGUAAAUUAGUGUUCGAGUCAUUGAAGGGGUCCAAGAUGUCCAAGAAGAUCACAUAUGACCAUCGGAAUGCAAUUAGAAGUCUAAAGAAUAUCAAAGAUCCGUACAAGUUAUAUUCCAAAUUCUCAGUUGUAACUUGCAAUACAUUUUUCACAUAGAAAAAAUUGGAAUUUAGUCAAGGCUAUUUUAGAAGAAUUGUAAUCUUUGAGUUAGCUUUCAAACAUAAGCUGAAUCACCUCAAUCGGACAUUGAGAGAGAAAGUUAUGGUGAAAAAAUUGAUGAUUGCUCAGCCGCUGCUUGAUUCUCGCUGGCUUUUCACCCGAGCAAAAAUACAAAAUGACUCUCACUUGAUUCUUGCUAGAUCCUCGCUCGAGUGACAUUCUUAAGUGUUUUACUAGGCCCAUGCCAUCAAAACACCUUCAAAUAUAAAUACCCAUGCCCUAGCACGAAUUUUUGGGUGGUUGUUCAUUGUGUAUCUCUUAGAAAACACAUUUUUAUCAUAUUUUUGUAGAUCCAAGAGCAUGUCCAAGCAUUGAUUCAUUUUAUUUAUUCUUGAGAUCCAACAACAACAUAUUAGGAAAAACAUCAAAGAUCUAAUAAUCCAAAAAAUCCAAAACACCUGUCUUUCUUAAUCUUUUGAGAAAGGGACUCUUUCAUUGGGAAUUGAGAGAUGUUGAUUGAAGCUCAGUUACAAGUCGGUCAACUCUAACUUUUGAGAAGUGACUUAAGCGCUUUUGCAAUAAUUUUGCUGAGUUCUCUUUAUUUAAUUUGCAUUUACUACCACGUGAUUCCACAUGCAAAGUUUCAUUAUAUGAUGCAAUAAUAUCAAGCAAAUAUAGGUUAUCAUAUGUAGAUAAUGAACCGGUACGAAUAACAUUGAAAUUUAAUGAAAGACUAAACCGAUUGUUUCCAACCGAACAAAAAUAUCCAGAUUUAUCCAACGAAGAAAUAGAAACCAAAUUCCGUCUAAAAGACGGUACAACAAAAGUGUAUUUCAAAUCCAAAUAAUAACCAGUUCCUAAUAAUAACUUAAAAGUGCCUAUUACAUCAACUUCCACCGAUUUGCCAUCACCUACACAGAUGUAUCUUUCACAUCACUUGGCUUUCGGUAACUCAAGCAACCCUGCAUAGAAAUACUUAUGUGAGCAGUGGCACCAGAAUUUAUCCACUAAGUCUUUCUACUGAAGCUAAAUUAUCCUCAGAAUAGAUCAAAGUAAGAAUUGUACCUUUCUUCGCACGUCAAGUAUGAUAUUUGGUAAAUCCUUCUUCACAUGUCCAAUUUUAUUGUAAAAGAAACAAGUUCAUUUAUCUUCCUUUUGUUUAUUUUAUGCUGGACCCUUAGGAGUAGCUGUGUAUUCCUUCUUUUUUCUUGAGCUUAUUUUUAGAAGUGCUUGCCAAGUAAGCGCUUUCCGUUCUUUCUUGCUUCAACCUUUCUUUUUCUUGUACAGAAUAUGAAGUGAGCUUAUUUAGAGACCAUUUCUCAUUCUGACAGUUAUAACUUACCUUAAAUUGAUUGAACUGUGCAAGAGGCGAGAUCAAUACCAAAUGUACUAGCAAGUCAUCAGACAUCUCAAGCUUUAAUCCUUUAAGUUUAGAAGCAAUGUGAGACAUCUCUAUUAUGUACUCCCUUAUGUUCCUCUUGCAUUUAUACUUCAUUGAAAUCAAGCUUUGCAAAAGCGUGCUUGUUUCAGCUUUAUCGUUUUUCACAAAACACUUCUCAAUUUCGGCAAAGAACUCCUUGGCACUAGUUAUUCCUUUGGAUGCUGUACCUCUAAAGGCUUACAGAAUGCCGUGCUUAAUCAUAACUAGACUCACGCAAUUUGAGCGAUCCCACUUUUCAAAGUUCUUCUUUUCAUCAGGUGAACUUUUUUUCGUAGGAGGAGUAGGUUCCUUAAUCCGAAGUGCAAGGUCAAGAUCCAUGCAGCCUAGAACAAUCAAAAUGUUCUCCUUCCAAUCCUUGAAGUUUGUCCUAUGAAGCAUGGGAAUAGAAUUAACAUUGAUAGAUAUAAUAGUAGCAGAUGAAUUGGCUAUACAGAGAACAAAAAAUAAACAAAUAAUCAUGCUCAAAUCCAUAUCCAUAUCCAUAUUUAGUGAACAAUAAAUUCAAAUAAUUGUAAACCCAAUCUCAAGAUACCUAGUACAACAUUAUUACCAAGUCUUUGGACAAUAAUAUUAAUUACAAGUGGUAUUCUUAGAGUCGUGAUCAAACAUUGACAAUAAAUCCUAUCAAAUAAUAAACCCGUCUUUGAAUUGAUUUAUUAUUCACAUGGAAAUCUUAUAAUUGUCACACGUUUACCACCACAAGUGUGUAUGUAAUUCGGUCAAAUAUUAAACUUCCUUUGAGAAUAUUGCGUGAACAAACACACACACAACAUAUAAAUAUCCCAAACAAACCAACCUACACAAGAGAGGGCACUUUCGUAACAAAUUGUUUCAAUUAGUUUAUUCAAAAUGCUAGAUAAUCUUAAUUUAUCACGAAUGAUUUACCAAAUUAUUUGAAUUUGAUUGUCCCAUAUAAUUAAAUCUCAAUUAUACCUCUUAAAAGUGUCUUUAGUAUCAAAAUUUGAAAAAGAUAAUCACUAAUUUUGCAUCAUUGGAUUUCUAUUGAAACUUUAGGGACCUAAGGGUUAAUAAUUCAAAACUUAAAGGGUCAAAAUUUGAAAAAUCUUAAACUUUGGGGGCCAAUUUUAAUUAAUUAUAUACAUUGAGGGCUUUAAUUCAAAAUUUCAGAACUUUAAUGCUCCAAAUUAAAUGAUUUUCAAACUUUAGGAGCUGAAUUAUAAAACCCAUAAGCUUAAAGGUCCAACUUGGAUAGAUUCCAAACUUUAGGGACUGAAAUUUAAAUUUUUAUUUUAAAAAAUAACUAACCCUAACCUUAAAUUGUAAGCAAGGGCUUGAGAUUUUCAAAAUUACACCUUAGAUCCCCGUCCCCAAAAUCCAUCACUGCAUCUCUUUCUCCUUUCCAGCGGCGUCGGCAUUGGCAGCAAUAAUCGUCGACACCUUUUUUUUUUUGAACCCCAAAUAGAAAACCAUACAUUGAUUUCAAAACUUUUAACCUAGAUCUUGAAAGAACAACCAAGAAUAAUAUGUCAUAGUAAUUUCAAAUUCAACAAAACAAAUCCGAAAUUGUCAAAUCUAAAAUAUUGUAGGAACUAAAUUUAACAUAAUAACAUGAUGGGAGAUAAAAAUAAAAAUAAAAAAAUAACCCACAAUAUAAAACUAUUAGAACCCUAAUUCUUGCAAUUUCUCAAUGAUUCAAUAAUGGAGUGCUCUGAUACCACUUGUAGGGAUUGAAAGGAACCAAAAUUUUACUAAACCCUUUCACAAAAUUACACAAAUGCUCCAUGUUGAAAUCAAUGACAAGAUUAAGUGGAAGCUUACUUUGAUCCAUAUAUGUAUAUGCUUUGAUUGGGUUUGGACCUUCCAAUUGUUACGUGAUUUUUUGAAAUCUUCUUCCUUGUUGAUGGGGAUGCAGAGAACUGUGAAUUCACAUCAAAUUGCAGACCAUGACCCCAUAUUAAAUAACUAUAAAUUGGCAGUUAUUAAUUUUGUGUUAUUUCAAAUUGGCCCCUCAUCAAUUCAAAAUAAUAUUGUCCAAUCUCUACACUUUAUUCCUAGAACAUUUAAUACCCAUUAAUCCAAAAUUAAACUUAAUGGAUCACUUUAUCGAUUAACUUUAAAAUUAGCACCACACAUUUUAAUAUAUAUACAUGUGUAGCCCCAAACGUUGGAAUUUUUCCAACACCCACCAUCUGUAGAUAGAAGAAAAUAUUCGAUUCUACCAAGAAGAAUAGGUGCUGGUAAUGACUUGGUGGAAGUAACUCAAGAAGAGUUAAUUAUACCAAUAAGAACACCAUUGAUCUUUGACACUUGAAUUGCCUCCACCUUAUACAAUUUAUUUAGACUAUGAUUCAAAAAUAUUCUCUUUUGCAGAGCAAGAGCCUUUGAUGCAGCAAUUGAGCUAAUCGUACAUGCGACCCGAUUAGGUCAGACUACUAAUUCGAUAAAUUUGUGUGUUAGUGCAACUAGUAAAGAUAGAAUCACUAAACACACAAAUAAUGAAGUUGAUGAAUAAGAUGCACAAUUUUCCUUCUCCUCCACAUUUGUUGCCUAUGAACUUGAUAAUUACCGAUUAAACAAUUUGGUUUAAGUAUUAAUUGGAGGUAUUGCCUCCCGGUGCAUAGCUCAGUGGUGCAAAUGAUAGGAGUAAGGUUAUCUUACGCCUUGUUGGUAGUGUGGGGGUUCGAUUCCUGAUACAUGGAAUUGGACUCCUUGUAAGCGCAGUCUACAGACAGUUCUUGUUCUCUGGCAUGUUGGGGCACAUCCUGCGAUUUACCUCCCUUACAAAACUCUAAGGGCGGGGCGAUGGGGGUUCUCAAAGUUGUGGUUCAACCUUUUUUUUUUUUUAAUUGGAGGUAUUAUUUUUGGAGCUCCCUCAAAAUCAGUGGGAAUAGGCAAAAGUGGACUGAAAAGAGUACAUGUCCAACAUGAUGGGCAUCUUCAUUUGGUGUUUGGGCCCAGAGGACUCUCUUUUAGGUGCAUUCAAUUUGAAUUUUUUUUGAAGAUUUUUAAAAAAUUCUGAGUGAAUGACUCGUAUGGAAACUAGUGAAUUUUUAUUGACUCUUAUAAGCUUUUACAGGGUUAUUGAAAGUCUUGCGUAGACUUCACUUUUACAAACUUUCAUUUGGGAAACUUAUAUAGCACAUCUGUAGUUAAUUAAAUUAUUUACUUUUGCAGUACGAUUUAAUAAUAUUUUGAUUUACCAAUUGUGUGAUGAAAUGAUCUAUAACACGUCGUAACAAAGUUAUAUUUUUAUUUCAAUAAAUGUUUUUUUAAAGGAAUAUGAAAAAUAGAAGUUACUUCAAUUAGAAAAAUAAAACGCUAACAUAUAUAUACAAAAAAUAUUAUGACAUUUCAAUAAUAUUUGAAGAAAAAAAGAAAAAAAAGAAAAAAAACGAAUUUUCUAAUGUUCAAUAUUAUCCAUAUGUCUGAAGGUGUAGAAAGUUAUUAAGGAUAAAGUUUGGUAUAUAUAAUUUAUGUACAUAGGGGUGUCCACUCCCCUCACAUGUGGUGGGGCUCACCUCGCGCUGCGCCCACCACAUGUGAGGGGUAUAGACACCCCUAUGUACAUAAAUAAUGUAUACCAAUCACAACCCAAAUUAAAAUAUCUUGUCUCGUGAUUAUAAGCUGUUUAUAAAAAUUCAAAUCGCUUUUUAUAUAUAAAAUUUAAAGGGACUCAAAAAUACUAUAUACUUAUUCAUCACUCAUUUCAUCAUUUUACAAUUUAAGUUCUUUAUAUAUAUUAUCAAAUUUUUUUUUGAGGAAACGAUGAAAAAGAAGAUAGUGAAGUCCGAAGAAAUCUCGACUCAAUACUUUUAAAAGUCUAGACUUUUUAAGAUUUUAAAAAAGUCUUGAUCAAAUACUCAUAAGGACAUUUAAAAUGUUUAUAUUGAUUAUUAAAUACUCUAAGAGUUUAUAGGGUUUUAAAAAUUUCGAUUAAGUACACCUUAACUUUUUAAAUUUAUGAAUGUCUUUAAAAAUUUAUAUAGAUUGAGUGCACGCCUAACUCUAUGAAUUAUUCCUCUUCAGAUAGGUAGUUUUGUUAUUCAACUCUCCUACUAUCUUUUGUACGCAUGAAGAAUGACAAUGUACAAAACGCAGUUACAAGGUCUAACAAAGUCAUGUUUGCAAGAAGAAGAAGAUUUAUAAUCUGGCAGCCAAUAUCUCCAUUAUGCAUUUCCCCUAUGUUUGCUAGGUUGCCUCAACAAAUAAUUCCCAGUCUUAAAUUGUGGAGUAUUUCAAUGUUAAACUUGGGUUGGAUGAGAUCAUACUGCAAAAGAUGAUGACAGGAUUUUGCAAAUGAGCCCAAUCGAUUUGUUCUUUUCAUUUUUGUUCUUUUGUCAUUUCAUCUGCUUUUUGAAAAGAUCCAAAUGUGGAUGAGAACUGUGGCAGGUAAGACUUGGCCUUGAAGGGUCUUUACGUGCUCUUUUAAAUGUUUCCAAACUCAGUUUCACGACAACAUUAUUGACUAGUGCGAUAUUAUAUAAUACUAUGUACCAAUCGCACAUUUAUUUUCUCAAUUUGCCCCAAACUGCCCAUUACGGGCAAGACACACAGCUGGCCUGCGCUUGUGCCAAAACAAAGAGCAGGACAAGAAAGAUAUCUACUUGCUUGAUCACACCAAUCCUUAUAUAAUAUAACAGCAUCAUUUCUUUUAGGGACGGAUUCAAGAUCGGACUACAGGCCGGACUAAUAUCUAUAAAAUAAAAUAAUAAUAAUAAUAAAAUGAAGAACUGGGGACUGGGCUGAGCUAUAGCCCAUUCCCCCCUAUAUACGUCCCUGAUUUCUUUACUUCAAUUUAUUCUCUACUCCUCACUAAUAGCGAUUAAUUGAAAGAAGAAAUGUUAGAGUUCGGGUGAACUGAAAUCUGUUGGGAGUUUUAUUAGGAGUUAGUAGUUUGCCUUGAAUAAAUCUUGAAGGAAUCAAAGACGGAUAAGGAGAAAAACAUAUCACAUGAAGACUGCUCCCCAGCCACGCAGGUGGGACUUGAGUAGAAAUUGUAGUAACUCCACUGCUCGCUAACAGCAUGCCAGGCGAUCAAGCAAUGGAUGGACUGCUCAUUAGCUGCCGCUAUCUGAUGCAAACUCUAGUCACGAUUUAGACAGAUUUUGCACUCCUAAACAAUCUCAAACUCUCUAUUAUUUGCCAGGGCUGUUAAACUAGGACUUCACCAUAUGUUAGGCUCUUAUUUGUAUUGUAUGUAUUAGGAGUAAUUCUGAAGAUCAUCCAAUAAUCUUUGUAAUCAUCCUUCAAUUUGUUAUAGUGAAUUUCUUCUCCUUUGCCCAUGGUUAUUUUCACGUCAUGGGUUUUCAAGAAAAUCUUUUGUUUGUGUUAUUACGUUUCAUAUUGCCAAAUCUCCUUUUUU